rnacentral:rRNA from 1 species
GAUGAACGCUGGCGGCGUGCUUAACACAUGCAAGUCGAACGAAGCGACUAUGAUUGAGAUUUCGGUUGAUUGAUUAGUUGACUUAGUGGCGGACGGGUGAGUAACGCGUGGGUAACCUGCCUCGUACAGGGGGAUAACAGUUAGAAAUGACUGCUAAUACCGCACCUAACCGCUAGGGUCGCAUGACCCGGACGGAAAAGAUUUAUCGGUACGAGAUGGACCCGCGUCCGAUUAGCUAGUUGGUGAGGUAACGGCCCACCAAGGCGACGAUCAGUAGCCGGCCUGAGAGGGUGAACGGCCACAUUGGAACUGAGACACGGCCCAA